UACGUAGGGUCCAAGCGUUUAUCCGGAAUUACUGGGCGUAAAGCGUACGUAGGCGGCGCGUUAAGUGAUAUGCGAAAUCCAGCGGCUCAACCGUUUGGACUGUAUAUCAUACUGACGUGCUAGAGGAUGGCAGAGGCAAGUGGAAUUGGUAGUGUAGCAGUGAAAUGCGUAGAUAUUACCAGGAACACCAAUGGCGAAGGCAGCUUGCUGGGCCAUUUCUGACGCUGAGGUACGAAAGCGUGGGGGAGCGAACAGG
rnacentral:rRNA from 1 species